ACACAUUUUCGUUACAUGCUUCGGCUUUCGUUUGGGUGUACCAAAACACCAAGGAAAUGUUUGGUCGGGCUCGUUGCCCAGUCAUCCACAUUUUCUCCUCGUUUUGUAAUACCCGAGUCUGCAAGGUCGUCCUCUUGUAAAUCGCCCCCUUCCGUCCCCUCGCCAAGAAUGUCUUUCAGUGGAAUCCCAGGCACCGAUGGCGCCGGAGGUGUCGUUGGCGGCGCGGCAACCGGCCCUCAGAAUUACUUCUGUCACCAGUGCAAUCGUACGGUCUCCGUAGUUUCCUCUUCCGACGUACGCUGUUCCGUAUGCUAUGGUGGCUUCGUUGAAGAACAUGAACAACCCCCUAAUCCAAACCCUAACCCUAAUCCCUUCAUUACCUUCUCCGACUCGCCGUCCAUUUCCGCUCGCGUCGGUGGUGGCGGUGGUCUCCCUCUCAUCUUCUCCACCACCCCAAGUGCCGGCAGCGGCGGCGGGGUCGAUUUCCAAAACGCCAGCGACUUUUCUAAUCUUUUCGGCGGUGAACGGGCGGUAUUGUUUCAAGACCCCGAUGCCUUCAACCCAUUCCUUUUUCUUCAGAACUAUCUCCAAACCAUGAGACCUGGCGGCGCCAAUAUCCAAUUCGUGAUCGAUAACAAUACCGGCGAUCCCGCCGGAGGAGGGUUACGUCUCCCGGCUAAUCUUGGCGACUAUUUUAUUGGUCCUGGUCUCGAGCAACUCAUCCAGCAGCUGGCCGAAAAUGACCCAAAUCGAUACGGUACGCCCCCUGCAUCGAAAUCUGCAGUUGAAGCGCUUCCUGAAAUCAAAAUUACGGAGGAGUUGCUGUCUUCGGACUCUUCACAAUGUGCGGUCUGUAAAGACACCUUUGAGCUUGGUGCGGAGGCCAAGCAGAUGCCUUGUAAGCACAUUUAUCAUCCGGACUGUAUCCUCCCUUGGUUGGGAAUGCAUAAUUCUUGUCCAGUCUGUCGAUAUGAGUUGCCGACUGAAGAUCCCGAUUAUGAGCAUGGGACUCGGGAAACUCGGGUCACUCCCAAUUCAACUGCAGUUGGUGGUUUAGCAGAUUCGUCAUCUUCUUCUGCUACAGGUGCUGGGGCAACAUCUCAAGAAAGUGGUCAGACGCCGCGGACGGCAGAACGGAGGUUUAGGAUUCCAUUGUAUUGGCCGUUUAGGAUGUUUGGAUCAUCUGCAGAAACGAGCAAUAGUAAUAGUGGCAACAAUGACGGGGAAUCAAACUCUGCGGGCAGGGGAAAUCGAGAUUUUGGAGCAGAGGGCAGACAAGAAGAUCUUGAUUGAGAUUAUGACUACUGCAACGAAUAAGCAAUGAGGAAUUGUGCACAUGCAAGACUUGAAACUGACUUGGAAGGGAAGAAAAGCAGCUCUAAUAUUUGCAAAUGGAAAGGAUCUUCCUCUACAUUGGGGAUUAGUGACGGGCAUUUUUAAUACUGUUAUAUUAAUAGGUAAAUGUAUUUUCAUUCUUAAUACCUUUUUUCAUGCUUCGAAAUUUUUUUGGAGGUUAUUUCAUGUGAUAAAUUUACGUUCACCAUUGCAUGUAUGUAUGAUGAUUGCACCAUGUGGAAAGUCUGUUAUGCUUACUACAUCCAUCCCACCCCGGGACUUUUGUUUUGUGAUGGAUGGGAACUUAAAGCGCGAGUUAUUUGCUCCAAUGAAUCUGUAUUGUUGCAAAUCUGAAGCUAUACCUAGCUAUAAAACUAGUAGCUAUGUUUGGGAAAAGAGUGAAAUCAUUCCAUCGUGCUGUUGGAGCUUAUGAUUUUGUUUGGUAGACAAAACUAGAAUGGAAUUAAUUUUUAUAUAUUUUAUUUUAUGUUGUUCUCAA